CAGAACUACAUGUAUUAACUCACAAUAAAUUAUUAAUGUACUAACAGCCAUAAUGUGAAGGAUUUUGAUUUGUCAAUAUAUGUAUUUUACAAGUGUCAUAUGAAUACAUUAACAUAUUAACAACCCAGCCGACCGUCCCUAGAGCAAGUGGCAAAGGGUUUGGUGGUUGGUAUCCGAGACACAAGUUCGAAUUCUAGUUGAUUAACAUUUUCAGCUACGUUUAUUUUUAAAUAAAAUAAACGCAGCGAGUAGCGUGCUACCUAUCUCUAAAAAAAAAAAAAAACAUAUUAACAACCCAUAAAUUUAGCUUUUUGG
rnacentral:lncRNA from 1 species